rfam:Tupaia chinensis contig187525, whole genome shotgun sequence.
GUAUAAACAUGAUCGCUUUCUCUGCAUGAUGUGUCAGAAACGAAGGGAACCGAGUUUGUUCAACUAAUUUUGGUGGUAGAAAUGUAUUCACCUCAGGGACCAGCAGGUGGUAUGGUGAUUAAGGGUGCUGGAUUCCCAUGUGGUUGACUA